CGCCUGGGUCCCUAACGCAGCCCCAAAUGAGCCUGAGGUAUUUUCCUUAUAUGAUCAGGCUUCGUAACCGGCGCCGCUGGUCUGGAGCCUGAGAUGAUUAUGAAAACGUGGCAGGUGAUGGGGGCCAGGGGACCUGGCC